UUGAGGAUCUUCAGUAAGCUAAAAGCGGAGAGUCAGGGGCCUUCUGCCCUACCAUGGUAUUUGCUAACGUUUAGAGAGUGCUUCCCCUUGCCGAGCACUGGAUCACUCCUUUAUUAUACAGAUCAAGAAAAAGGAUUUAGUACUGUUAUGCUCAAAUGAACACUGGACCCAUGUGUCAGGGCCAAGCAACUAGAACAUGAUUCAGAAAUCAGUCAGAGAAAGACACACUUGGACAGGACCAAGAGGCAUUUCAUUGUCACGAAACAAGGUGGGGGAGGGAUUCCAAAACACACAGCAGGAAGUACUUCUAACCCUCAGAGGUCAAGGAGCUUAUCCCAUAUUGGUAUGAGGAAUGGCUUAUUUUCUGAUGACCACAUGUGGGACUAUUUCAACUGCCACGAGAAAUCCCAGAAGGGUUAUUAUUUUGUAUUAUUUAUAUAUACUAUACCUUUUUUAAAAAAAUAAAUGUAACACAUAAA
rnacentral:antisense_RNA from 1 species